UAAGGAAUAUUGGACAAUGGAGGCAACUCUGAUCCAGCCAUGCCGCGUGAAGGAAUAAGGCCCUAUGGGUUGUAAACUUCUUUUAGACGGGACAAAACCCCUUUACGUGUAAAGGGUUGAUGGUACUGUCAGAAUAAGCAUCGGCUAACUUCGUGCCAGCAGCCGCGGUAAUACGAAGGAUGCAAGCGUUAUCCGGAAUUAUUGGGUUUAAAGGGUGCGUAGGCGGACUAAUAAGUCAGUGGUGAAAGCCUGCAGCUUAACUGCAGAAUUGCCAUUGAUACUGUUAUUCUUGAGUACAGUUGAGGUAGGCGGAAUGUGUCAUGUAGCGGUGAAAUGCUUAGAUAUGACACAGAACACCGAUUGCGAAGGCAGCUUGCUAAGCUGUAACUGACGCUAAGGCACGAAAGCGUGGGGAGCAAACA
rnacentral:rRNA from 1 species